UACGUAGGGUGCAAGCGUUAAUCGGAAUUACUGGGCGUAAAGCGUGCGCAGGCGGUCCGCUAAGACCGAUGUGAAAUCCCCGGGCUUAACCUGGGAACUGCAUUGGUGACUGGCGGGCUGGAGUAUGGCAGAGGGGGGUAGAAUUCCACGUGUAGCAGUGAAAUGCGUAGAGAUGUGGAGGAACACCGAUGGCGAAGGCAGCCCCCUGGGUCAACACUGACGCUCAUGCACGAAAGCGUGGGGAGCAAACAGG
rnacentral:rRNA from 1 species